UACGUAGGGUGCGAGCGUUUAAUCGGAAUUACUGGGCGUAAAGCGUGCGCAGGCGGCUUCGCAAGUCAGACGUGAAAUCCCCGGGCUUAACCUGGGAAUGGCGUUUGAAACUACGGAGCUGGAGUAUGGCAGAGGGGGGUGGAAUUCCACGUGUAGCGGUGAAAUGCGUAGAUAUGUGGAGGAACACCGAUGGCGAAGGCAGCCCCCUGGGCCAAUACUGACGCUCAUGCACGAAAGCGUGGGGAGCAAACAGG
rnacentral:rRNA from 1 species